rnacentral:rRNA from 1 species
CGCGAAUCGCCCUUCGGGGUGCACCAGGCGCGAAAACUUUACAAUGCCGGCAACGGCGAUAAGGGGACCUCGAGUGCCAGGUUACAAAUCUGGCUGUCGAGAUGCCUAAAAAGCAUUUCAUAGCAAGGGCCGGGCAAGACCGGUGCCAGCCGCCGCGGUAACACCGGCGGCUCGAGUGGUAACCGUUAUUAUUGGGUCUAAGGGGUCUGUAGCCGGCCGGAUAAGUCUCUUGGGAAAUCCAGCAGCUCAACUGUUGGGCUUUCAGGAGAUACUGUCUGGCUCGAGGCCGGGAGAGGUGAGAGGUACUUCAGGGGUAGGGGUGAAAUCUUGUAAUCCUUGAAGGACCACCAGUGGCGAAGGCGUCUCACCAGAACGGACCUGACGGCAAGGGACGAAAGCUAGGGGCACGAACCGGAUUAGAUACCCGGGUAGUCCUAGCCGUAAACGAUACUCGCUAGGUGUCGGCCACGGUGCGACCGUUGUCGGUGCCGUAGGGAAGCCGUGAAGCGAGCCACCUGGGAAGUACGGCCGCAAGGCUGAAACUUAAAGGAAUUGGCGGGGGAGCAC